rnacentral:rRNA from 1 species
UACGGGGGGGAGCAAGCGUUGUUCGGAUUUACUGGGCGUAAAGGAUGCGUAGGCGGACAUUUAAGUCAGAUGUGAAAUACCCGAGCUUAACUUGGGUGCUGCAUUUGAAACUGGGUGUCUAGAGUGCAGGAGAGGUAAGUGGAAUUCCUAGUGUAGCGGUGAAAUGCGUAGAGAUUAGGAAGAACACCAGUGGCGAAGGCGACUUACUGGACUGUAACUGACGCUGAGGCAUGAAAGCGUGGGGAGCAAACAGG